GAUCAUGGCUCAGGACGAACGCUGGCGGCGCGCCUAACACAUGCAAGUCGAACGGAGCUUAGAUUUUGAAGUUUUCGGAUGGAUGAAUGUAAGCUUAGUGGCGGACGGGUGAGUAACACGUGAGCAACCUGCCUUUCAGAGGGGGAUAACAGCCGGAAACGGCUGCUAAUACCGCAUGAUGUUGCGGGGGCACAUGCCCCUGCAACCAAAGGAGCAAUCCGCUGAAAGAUGGGCUCG
rnacentral:rRNA from 1 species